UGAAAAUGUGACUGAGGUCUGACCUUAGUUCCCAGUCAGCCAGACAAUUUACAGAGCAAAGAUGUUCAUUUAUCUUAACUUUCUAAUCUUUGGGUAUAUCUGCAAUACCUGCUCUGAGAUACUCCAAAAGACAAUGCCUGAGAAACAAACAGUAACCUUGAGCUGUAAUCACCCUGUGGGAAGUUGCGUAACAUGGAGCAGAGAAAUAGAUUGUAAGACAGUAGACAUUGUCACUAUUCAAGAUGGAGUUGAUGACAGAAAACACAUUUCUGAUCCAGGCAAACAUUAUGGCUCAAUAACAGACAAGUCAUUGGUUAUAGUGAGUUUGAAAGCCUCAGACUCUGGGACCUACUUCUGCAAUAUGCAACCAACAGUAUAUCUAAGAGUGACAUCAGACAAUGGCAAGAGUGUCCCUAUAACCAACUGUUCUGGAGAGAGAAGACCAAACACUAGACACAAUAAUACUAAGCAAGUGUUGGUUGGUGUCGUUUCUGGUUUUGGGGUGUUUCUGUUAAUGAGCAUCUUCAUCUGGAGAUAUUCCUCAAAAAGAAGAACAGUAAGGCCUGAAGUGGAAGGCAAGAACAUUGCAGACGACCACAUCUAUGCUGUCAUAAAGGAUCAUGGGGCCAGGCCGAGAGCAGAAUGCAGCACUCAGGUUCAGAGUGAGUCUAUAUAUCACCUGGCAGGUGUUCCAGGAACGAAGGGUGAAGGUACUCCUAAACAAAGUGAAUCCCCUUAUGUCAUGCUCCAUAUUCCGCAAACUGAUGUCACAACAGUGAGGGCAUAAACUCCUUGUCAAUAAAUCUACAGGAAAUUAUCAUGACGAGUCUUUGCAAGUCACUCUGAAUCAUUAAGACAUCACUUUGUUUUUUUCAAGGCUAUUUGAUAUUGGUGUAUGUUACGGAUACUGGUAUCCUGAGUGUGUAUCCUGUGUGUGUGUAUUUCUUUUCUCUCCUUCUCCCCUCACAGGUGGCAAUCAUCCUUCCCCAAUCAGAAGACACCUGCACCUUUUCCAUUAGCCUAUCACAGCCCCUUUCCCUUGGUUUAAAAACCCAGUCAGAAGCUCAAUCUAGCAGUCAUUCAAUCUCUCUCCUUGUAUGCAGAUCACGCUUUUGUUUUUGCCCAUACAUGUCACAUUUGUCCGGCACCUGAGUAUGGUUUUGUUAAAGUGUUGACUGUUUGUUUGAUGGUGGGAAAAGGGGGUACCAAGACAAGUCGCCCAUGGGCAUACAUAACCCGUAGGAAUACUUUGUCUAAGAACGAGUUAGAACUGGGCAGACCACCUGCUGUAUUUUAUUGGUUAGUUAGCUAGCUGUUAUUGAAGCAGGCUAGUCUAGCUUAGGGGUGUUUUUGGAUAUUUGUUUCUUUCCUUGGGUCCAGCUCAGCCCCUUUUUCCCCACACCCCAUUACUGUGUGUUUAAACAAUAAACCUAUAGUGUUUGACGGUA